rnacentral:rRNA from 1 species
GUCUAUGGCCACCCUGAACAUGCCCAAUAUUGUCUGAUCUCGGAAGCUAAGCAGGGUCGGGCCUGGUUAGUACUUGGAUGGGAGACCAAAAAUACCAAGUGCUGUAGGUG